rnacentral:rRNA from 1 species
AUUCGCAGAGUGUAAAGGCACAAGGGAGCUUGACUGCGAGACCUACAAGUCGAGCAGGGACGAAAGUCGGGCUUAGUGAUCCGGUGGUUCCGCAUGGAAGGGCCAUCGCUCAACGGAUAAAAGCUACCCUGGGGAUAACAGGCUUAUCUCCCCCAAGAGUCCACAUCGACGGGGAGGUUUGGCACCUCGAUGUCGGCUCAUCGCAUCCUGGAGCUGAAGUAGGUUCCAAGGGUUGGGCUGUUCGCCCAUUAAAGCGGUACGCGAGCUGGGUUCAGAACGUCGUGAG